rnacentral:rRNA from 1 species
GACGAACGCUGGCGGCGUGCCUAAUACAUGCAAGUCGAGCGGACAGAAGGGAGCUUGCUCCCGGAAGUUAGCGGCGGACGGGUGAGUAACACGUGGGCAACCUACCCUGUAGAUCGGGAUAACAUCGAGAAAUCGGUGCUAAUACCGGAUAAUCAUUUGAAGUGCAUGCUUCGAAUGUAAAAGAUGGCUCCGGCUAUCACUACGGGAUGGGCCCGCGGGGCAUUAGCUAGUUGGUAAGGUAAUGGCUUACCAAGGCAACGAUGCGUAGCCGACAGGAGAGGGUGAUCGGCCACACUGGGACUGAGACACGGCCCAGACUCCUACGGGAGGCAGCAGUAGGGAAUCUUCCGCAAUGGACGAAAGUCUGACGGAGCAACGCCGCGUGAGUGAUGAAGGUUUUCGGAUCGUAAAGCUCUGUUGUUAGGGAAGAACAAGUGCCGUUUGAAUAAGGCGGCACCUUGACGGUACCUAACCAGAAAGCCACGGCUAACUACGUGCCAGCCGCCGCCGUAAUAC